rnacentral:rRNA from 1 species
UACGGAGGGGACUAGCGUUGUUCGGAAUUACUGGGCGUAAAGCGCACGUAGGCGGCCAACUAAGUCAGACGUGAAAUCCCCAGGCUCAACCUGGGAACUGCGUCUGAUACUGGAUGGCUUGAAUCCGGGAGAGGGAUGCAGAAUUCCAGGUGUAGCGGUGAAAUGCGUAGAGAUGUGGAGGAACACCGGUGGCGAAGGCAGCCUCCUGGGCCAGCACUGACGCUCAUGCACGAAAGCGUGGGGAGCAAACAGG